rnacentral:misc_RNA from 1 species
UUAAUAAUCCAGUCCUUAUAUUCUGCCUAUUUCCGAUAGCAUAUUGUCAUAGAGUGCGCUGAAUUAUUCGAGUCGUAUGUUUCAUUUUUAAUACUAAUGCUGUUAGAAUCUAUUUGUUGUAAUUACAUACAGAAUACCAACUAGCACGUGUUUUUUUCAAGCCAUCGUUUGUAACUUGAAAUAAAAAUAGAUUCAUACAGUUGAUUAAACAAGACAGAAAGAUGGCCAACAACAACAUAGCAUCAGUUGAACAUCUUAAACAGUGUGUUAAGCAGAAUGACCUUUGUGAAGCAGUAAAAUUUUUGAGUGAUGAUAAGCAUCUGAACUUUUAUGCUGAAAAAAGUCUGGAUGUUAUUCCUGUAAUUUUUAACUACCUUGAUAAAGAAAAUGACAAGUCAAGCUUCAGUUUUAUCAAUACAUGUGAGAAUGCUAUGGUAGAGAUUGCUAAGAGAGGUAAUGCAAAAGAGCUUUUAAUUGGAUUUUUGGAACAAGCUGAUCGAUUUAAAGAGGAUGUAUGUUUCAGGGCACUUAUUAAACCAUUGCAGAUUGUCUUACAGCGAUUACCUGGUAAGAGAGGAAAGUCAUUGGAAUGGACUUUAAACAUUUUGGGUGCUCAUUUAGAAUCUUUACCUCUGCCAAAAGACUACAAUUUGGAAGGUGAAGAAAGAAAACUUCUUGAUUUAGAUCUGUGUGUGCAGAGAAUAAUCACUCAGAUAUCAUUGUACCUACCUUUCUUUGAGCCUUUCGUGGAAGAAGUAUCAUUAGCAGCCGAGAAGCUGCAGCAUAUUAGCUACUUAGAUAGAGCAAUUCAUCAAAGACGUAUCAUAACACUGUUUCUGGUGAAACUUUUACAUCAUCCAUUAGGAUAUCUGGAUCUUUCACACACGGAGCGAAAGGCCAAGAGCUCUUCACGUGUUUGUGCUGAAGAAAUCAUUGCAUAUAUAAGUAGACUUCAGGGGAAUUUCUUAAAUGUUUACCAUUCUCUCAGAGAACAGCAAAAGUCCAAACUGUUAGAUUCUUAUGAUGAGCAAAAUAACUCUCUGAGAGAAGCUGAGGUAGAAAUGACAGUGUCUGAAAUUGCUUUAGGUGUUUUUGGCUAUAUGAUAUUUGGGGAGGAAGUGAACACUAAAAAUAUUCCUUCUUUAUACACUCAUUUGUAUCUUCUUGAAGAAAAUGUGAACAUUAUCUGUGUGCUUCUUGAAAAUCCCAAAGAAAUGAUCUAUUACAAAGGGCUAAUUCUAGCUCAAGUUUUGUUGGACAAGUUAAAAGUUGCUGAACUCUCUUCUAAAAAUCUUGAUUUAAAUGACUACUUUAGAAUGUCGAAAGCUCUUAUAAAAGUAAUGGUCUACUGUUGUGUUGAAGAGUAUCGUCAACUUGCUCGAGUAGUUUUUGAAAAUUAUUUAAAGAAGCUUGAUUUUGAAGGGAAUUAUAAAAUGUUAUUUUCACUCAUUAAUUCAGAAAAGCACGCAGGGGUGCAGGGUUAUCUUAUUGGAUUAUUUAAAAUGAGGGUAUUAUUGUCAUUAGAAGAAAAAAGGAAAAGUUCUCCUUUUCUUGGAGUUGGAUUAAAGAAGUUUUUAAAAGUAAUCACAGUCUUGCCUAAAAAAGUUGAAACAGAUCUGUUAGAUCACAGUGACUGUGUUGUUGCAUCUCUGAAUCUUCUACGUUUUUUGUUUUUGCGAGAUAAAAAGAUUAAUAAUCUUACUGGCACUUGGAGUUACCUAAAUGAAGUUCAGACUGAAUUCUUACAACCCUUGCGCACAGCACUUCAACUGUCUCAAGCACAUUAUAAGUUGAAGCUUGAGCAAAUAGGAGAGAAGCAGAAGAAAACAUCUGUAAGUAAAACUGUGUAUGUAGAAGGUCAACCCUUACCAAAUCUUCCUGCUAAUGACAAGGAUAUAUUAAAGUCUGCACUUCUGCAAUUUGACUUAAUAGAAAGUCUUCUAGUGAGACUGGAAGAAAUUUGUGAUUUAUAAACUUAAAACUAGUCUUUUUCUCUGCAAAGAACAGCUUUUUGUCUUUCAUUUUUAUCAGUUUGACUAAUUCUAGUGAAAAAUACAUCACUUUCU